rnacentral:rRNA from 1 species
AGUGCGGCUGCUAUAAUGCAAGUCGAGCGGACAGAUGGGAGCUUGCUCCCUGAUGUUAGCGGCGGACGGGUGAGUAACACGUGGGUAACCUGCCUGUAAGACUGGGAUAACUCCGGGAAACCGGGGCUAAUACCGGAUGCUUGUUUGAACCGCAUGGUUCAAACAUAAAAGGUGGCUUCGGCUACCACUUACAGAUGGACCCGCGGCGCAUUAGCUAGUUGGUGAGGUAACGGCUCACCAAGGCGACGAUGCGUAGCCGACCUGAGAGGGUGAUCGGCCACACUGGGACUGAGACACGGCCCAGACUCCUACGGGAGGCAGCAGUAGGGAAUCUUCCGCAAUGGACGAAAGUCUGACGGAGCAACGCCGCGUGAGUGAUGAAGGUUUUCGGAUCGUAAAGCUCUGUUGUUAGGGAAGAACAAGUGCCGUUCAAAUAGGGCGGCACCUUGACGGUACCUAACCAGAAAGCCACGGCUAACUACGUGCCAGCAGCCGCGGUAAUACGUAGGUGGCAAGCGUUGUCCGGAAUUAUUGGGCGUAAAGGGCUCGCAGGCGGUUUCUUAAGUCUGAUGUGAAAGCCCCCGGCUCAACCGGGGAGGGUCAUUGGAAACUGGGGAACUUGAGUGCAGAAGAGGAGAGUGGAAUUCCACGUGUAGCGGUGAAAUGCGUAGAGAUGUGGAGGAACACCAGUGGCGAAGGCGACUCUCUGGUCUGUAACUGACGCUGAGGAGCGAAAGCGUGGGGAGCGAACAGGAUUAGAUACCCUGGUAGUCCACGCCGUAAACGAUGAGUGCUAAGUGUUAGGGGGUUUCCGCCCCUUAGUGCUGCAGCUAACGCAUUAAGCACUCCGCCUGGGGAGUACGGUCGCAAGACUGAAACUCAAAGGAAUUGACGGGGGC